rnacentral:rRNA from 1 species
CGGCGGACGGGUGAGUAACGCGUGGGUAACCUGCCCCAUACAGGGGGAUAACAGUCAGAAAUGACUGCUAAUACCGCAUAAGACCACGGAGCCGCAUGGCGCAGUGGUAAAAACUCCGGUGGUAUGAGAUGGGCCCGCGUCUGAUUAGGCAGUUGGCGGGGUAACGGCCCACCAAGCCGACGAUCAGUAGCCGACCUGAGAGGGUGACCGGCCACAUUGGGACUGAGACACGGCCCAG